rnacentral:lncRNA from 10 species
GAGGCGAGAAGAUUGCUUGAGCCCAGGAGGUAGAGGCUGCAGUGAGCCAUGAUCACGUCACUGCACUCCAGCCUGGGUGACAGAACAAGACACUGUCUCAAAAAUAAUAAUAAUUUAAAAAUCGGGGCCGGGCGCGGUGGCUCAUGCCUGUAAUCCCAGCACUUUGGGAGGCCGAAGUGGGUGGAUCAUGAGGUCAGGAGUUUGAGACCAACCUGGCCAAGAUGGUGAAACUCUGUGUCUACUAAAAAUACAAAAAAAUUAGCUGGGCUUGGUGGCAGGGUGGCUGAGGCAGAGAACUGUGUGAACCUGGGAGGCGGAGGUUGCAGUGAGAUCUCACCACUGCACUCCAGCCUGGGCAACAGAAUGAGACUCUGUCUCCAAAAAACAAAUUGGCCGGGCGCAGUGGCUCAUGCCUAUAAUCCCAGCACUUUGGGAGGCCGAGGUGGACGGAUCACGAGGUCAGGAGAUCGAGACCAUCCUGGCUAACACAGUGAAACCCCGUCUCUACUAAAAAUACAAAAAAUUAGCCAGGCGUGGUGGCGGGCGCCUGUAGUCCCAGCUACUCGGGAGGCUGAGGCAGGAGAAUGGCGUGAACCCGGGAGGCGGAGCUUGCAGUGAGCCGAGACUGUGCCACUGCACUCCAGCCUGGGCGACAGAGCAAGACUCCGUCUCAAAAACAAACAAAAAAACAAAAAAACAAAAACAAAGGUCUGGAGGUAGUAAAUGUCACACCAAGCAUUGGAUCUCCUCCUCCAGGGACCUCCAGCCCUGCCUCCACCCGCCCUCACCUUGUUCUUGG